UUCCAUGUUUUUAGAUAAGUGUUGUAGCAAUGGGUUGAUUUUAGUUACAAGUGAAAAUGACCAAACUGUCCUUACUUUAUCUUGUCUUCAUCUUCUUCCUCAAUAUAAAAACGCAAACACCACCAUCUCUUCCAAACGUCAAUCGCCAUGGACGACGACCUUCAAGCAAUGAUUAUUUUCUCCACCUCCUAAAUCAGAAAAUCCUAAAUCUCAUAACCCAAAUUGGAAAACCCUAAAAAUCAGAUGAAAGUGGAUAACAACAAAGAUGAGAAUCAGCGGUAUUUGAUAAAAGACUAACGCUCUCUGUAACUAACUCAGAUCGGUUUCCUUCUCCCCCUGCCAUGGCUUCCACCAAUCAACAGUAUCGAUUCUCCUUUGAAACUUUUGAGAGGAAGAGAGGUUUAUAAUUCGAUUGGGGUUUCUUCGGACAAGAUGCCACCAUGAACCCUUUCGAUCUCCUCGACGGUGUCGACAACCAGGAUAUCGUUGCGCUCCUCUCCGCUGCUCAGCUGAAGAUUGAGAAGGAAAAGGAAAAGCCAAAGGCCACCGCCAAUGUUCCUCCUCCUCUCAACAAGCUGGCCCAACAAAAGGCCGAUACGGAAAAGAAACCAGCUCGUCAGCUUCUUUAUUCAUAUUAAUUAGCCUCAGCAGUUUCUUUGAUGUUCUAUUUUGUUUUGUUAUCGUACUUGGUUUUUGCUCUUUAUGGAUCAAGGCGGUGAGCUUUUUAUCUUGUAUUUUGUCUCAUUUAUGUGUUCUUGAUUUUCUCUUAUUAUAAUUUGUAUUAAAAUAUAAAAAUAUAA
rnacentral:lncRNA from 1 species